rnacentral:rRNA from 1 species
UUAAGCGACUAAGCGUACACGGUGGAUGCCCUGGCAGUCAGAGGCGAUGAAGGACGUGCUAAUCUGCGAUAAGCGUCGGUAAGGUGAUAUGAACCGUUAUAACCGGCGAUUUCCGAAUGGGGAAACCCAGUGUGAUUCGUCACACUAUCAUUAACUGAAUCCAUAGGUUAAUGAGGCGAACCGGGGGAACUGAAACAUCUAAGUACCCCGAGGAAAAGAAAUCAACCGAGAUUCCCCCAGUAGCGGCGAGCGAACGGGGAGGAGCCCAGAGCCUGAAUCAGUGUGUGUGUUAGUGGAAGCGUCUGGAAAGGCGCGCGAUACAGGGUGACAGCCCCGUACACAAAAAUGCACAUGCUGUGAGCUCGAUGAGUAGGGCGGGACACGUGGUAUCCUGUCUGAAUAUGGGGGGACCAUCCUCCAAGGCUAAAUACUCCUGACUGACCGAUAGUGAACCAGUACCGUGAGGGAAAGGCGAAAAGAACCCCGGCGAGGGGAGUGAAAAAGAACCUGAAACCGUGUACGUACAAGCAGUGGGAGCACAGAGCAAUCUGUGUGACUGCGUACCUUUUGUAUAAUGGGUCAGCGACUUAUAUUCUGUAGCAAGGUUAACCGAAUAGGGGAGCCGAAGGGAAACCGAGUCUUAACUGGGCGUUAAGUUGCAGGGUAUAGACCCGAAACCCGGUGAUCUAGCCAUGGGCAGGUUGAAGGUUGGGUAACACUAACUGGAGGACCGAACCGACUAAUGUUGAAAAAUUAGCGGAUGACUUGUGGCUGGGGGUGAAAGGCCAAUCAAACCGGGAGAUAGCUGGUUCUCCCCGAAAGCUAUUUAGGUAGCGCCUCGUGAAUUCAUCUCCGGGGGUAGAGCACUGUUUCGGCAAGGGGGUCAUCCCGACUUACCAACCCGAUGCAAACUGCGAAUACCGGAGAAUGUUAUCACGGGAGACACACGGCGGGUGCUAACGUCCGUCGUGAAGAGGGAAACAACCCAGACCGCCAGCUAAGGUCCCAAAGUCAUGGUUAAGUGGGAAACGAUGUGGGAAGGCCCAGACAGCCAGGAUGUUGGCUUAGAAGCAGCCAUCAUUUAAAGAAAGCGUAAUAGCUCACUGGUCGAGUCGGCCUGCGCGGAAGAUGUAACGGGGCUAAACCAUGCACCGAAGCUGCGGCAGCGACACUAUGUGUUGUUGGGUAGGGGAGCGUUCUGUAAGCCUGCGAAGGUGUGCUGUGAGGCAUGCUGGAGGUAUCAGAAGUGCGAAUGCUGACAUAAGUAACGAUAAAGCGGGUGAAAAGCCCGCUCGCCGGAAGACCAAGGGUUCCUGUCCAACGUUAAUCGGGGCAGGGUGAGUCGACCCCUAAGGCGAGGCCGAAAGGCGUAGUCGAUGGGAAACAGGUUAAUAUUCCUGUACUUGGUGUUACUGCGAAGGGGGGACGGAGAAGGCUAUGUUGGCCGGGCGACGGUUGUCCCGGUUUAAGCGUGUAGGCUGGUUUUCCAGGCAAAUCCGGAAAAUCAAGGCUGAGGCGUGAUGACGAGGCACUACGGUGCUGAAGCAACAAAUGCCCUGCUUCCAGGAAAAGCCUCUAAGCAUCAGGUAACAUCAAAUCGUACCCCAAACCGACACAGGUGGUCAGGUAGAGAAUACCAAGGCGCUUGAGAGAACUCGGGUGAAGGAACUAGGCAAAAUGGUGCCGUAACUUCGGGAGAAGGCACGCUGAUAUGUAGGUGAAGUCCCUCGCGGAUGGAGCUGAAAUCAGUCGAAGAUACCAGCUGGCUGCAACUGUUUAUUAAAAACACAGCACUGUGCAAACACGAAAGUGGACGUAUACGGUGUGACGCCUGCCCGGUGCCGGAAGGUUAAUUGAUGGGGUUAGCGCAAGCGAAGCUCUUGAUCGAAGCCCCGGUAAACGGCGGCCGUAACUAUAACGGUCCUAAGGUAGCGAAAUUCCUUGUCGGGUAAGUUCCGACCUGCACGAAUGGCGUAAUGAUGGCCAGGCUGUCUCCACCCGAGACUCAGUGAAAUUGAACUCGCUGUGAAGAUGCAGUGUACCCGCGGCAAGACGGAAAGACCCCGUGAACCUUUACUAUAGCUUGACACUGAACAUUGAGCCUUGAUGUGUAGGAUAGGUGGGAGGCUUUGAAGUGUGGACGCCAGUCUGCAUGGAGCCGACCUUGAAAUACCACCCUUUAAUGUUUGAUGUUCUAACGUUGACCCGUAAUCCGGGUUGCGGACAGUGUCUGGUGGGUAGUUUGACUGGGGCGGUCUCCUCCUAAAGAGUAACGGAGGAGCACGAAGGUUGGCUAAUCCUGGUCGGACAUCAGGAGGUUAGUGCAAUGGCAUAAGCCAGCUUGACUGCGAGCGUGACGGCGCGAGCAGGUGCGAAAGCAGGUCAUAGUGAUCCGGUGGUUCUGAAUGGAAGGGCCAUCGCUCAACGGAUAAAAGGUACUCCGGGGAUAACAGGCUGAUACCGCCCAAGAGUUCAUAUCGACGGCGGUGUUUGGCACCUCGAUGUCGGCUCAUCACAUCCUGGGGCUGAAGUAGGUCCCAAGGGUAUGGCUGUUCGCCAUUUAAAGUGGUACGCGAGCUGGGUUUAGAACGUCGUGAGACAGUUCGGUCCCUAUCUGCCGUGGGCGCUGGAGAAUUGAGGGGGGCUGCUCCUAGUACGAGAGGACCGGAGUGGACGCAUCACUGGUGUUCGGGUUGUCAUGCCAAUGGCACUGCCCGGUAGCUAAAUGCGGAAGAGAUAAGUGCUGAAAGCAUCUAAGCACGAAACUUGCCCCGAGAUGAGUUCUCCCUGACUCCUUGAGAGUCCUGAAGGAACGUUGAAGACGACGACGUUGAUAGGCCGGGUGUGUAAGCGCAGCGAUGCGUUGAGCUAACCGGUACUAAUGAACCGUGAGGCUUAACCU